GAAGUUUAUUAAAUAAUUAAUAAUUAAAUUUAAUUAUUAAAUCCCGGUAUUAUCCGAAGACGAGUCAUCGGACUCAUCCGAAGUACGCCCCGCGUACACCGAGGUAUGUCGACAUUCGCACUCGAGUAUUUCGGAUACGUAAGCCAUGACGAUCCGAGGCGUACGCCCCGCGUACUCCGAGGUUCCAUACUCUAUAAAUUGGAUUCGAAGGCAGCCGACUCCUUUGCUAUCUUUCUCUCUUUUCUCUCCCGUUUUACCUCGAUUUGCAUGCCAGAAGUACCCCGUAGCCCCGGUAAUAUUCUCGAGCCCCGAAGACAGUCCCGAGAUCCCGAAGAUCCCGGGAAGUGCGAUUCCCGAGCCGAAGCUCUGCUCGAGAGAAGUUCGAUUUUUGUGAAGAUCUUCCAGAUCUGCUGAGGAUUACUACUUCUGCAAGUUGUAGUGUUGUCCGAUCAUCUUCUAAUCAAGUGAGUGUAUACUACCUUUCAUAAACACGAUAAUAAUACAAGUAUGGUUUGAGUGUAUUAAGUAUAUUGUUGUUUAUAUGUGUGAGUGUGUAGUUACUUUCUUCUAACGCAUAAUUAUGAAGUAUUUUAUACGGAAUACGUAUUAUGUGUAUAAUUUUGUGGUUAUGUGUGUGAAUGUGUAUUCACUUUCUUCUAACUCAUAGAUAUGAUUUAUUCUCUAUGAAAUACGUGUUAUGUGUGUGUGUGCCUCAUCUGUUAUGUGGAAUAUGUAUUGAUUAAAGCAUGCUAUACAGGUUUUUNNNNNNNNNNNNNNNNNNNNNNNNNNNNNNNNNNNNNNNNNNNNNNNNNNNNNNNNNNNNNNNNNNNNNNNNNNNNNNNNNNNNNNNNNNNNNNNNNNNNNNNNNNNNNNNNNNNNNNNNNNNNNNNNNNNNNNNNNNNNNNNNNNNNNNNNNNNNNNNNNNNNNNNNNNNNNNNNNAAUUAAAUAUAAUUAUUUAUUGUGGGUUGAAAACCCUAUAUGCUCACCAGGCUCCCAAGCCUGACCCACUCAGUUUUAUUUGUAUUACAGGAAGUGGCGCGAGGGCAUAAGAUGGAUGAACCAUCAAGUUGUUUUGUUUACAAGUCUGUAUAUGUAUAUAUUUGUUGAAUGACUUGUAAUGUUAUCGUUUAUGCUUAUUGGUCUGUAUCGGAACAUGACACCCCGAGUUUUGAUUAUAUAAUGAAAAUACAUUUCUUUUAUGAAAUGCUUUGGUAAACAUUGUUUUAUCAUGUUUUGUUUUUGGGAACAAAUUCCGCAACUCUUUCAAAUCAAAAAGAUUUACUCUGAAAUUAUUUUAAAAGCAUAAAUGAAAAUCGGUAUUUUCUAGUCGAGAUUUUGGGGAUGUCAAAGUUGGUAUCAGAGCAUUAGUUUAAGCGAACUAGGAAUUUGUAGUAUUUCUAGACUUAAACUUAGAAUGCUAAGUGAAAUUUUGAGAUGUGUCUCUGUGAUAUUUUAGACACGAGCACUAGUUUAUUUUAGGAAAGUUGUCUAAAAUGCUUUAUGUGCUAAAUGUUAUAUGUUGCCAUAUAUGAUAUUAUUUGUUCGGAUCUAUGGUAUGUUGCCAACCGGAUCAAGAAACUUUAUGUGUGUAGGAUUCUAAGCGUACGUCUACGAAUUUAGAACUAGCAUGUAAACGUUUCGGAGUGAUAAGGAUGAUUUGAAUAUCUAUCGUGAAUGAGGAUCCGAUUGGAGUUAUGGAUUGGAUCUCCGAAAUGGAGUUAGGUUUCAUGACUUAUGGCUGCAGAGGCUAGUUGCAGACUAUCUAUGCAGUGCGUCAGUUCCGAGGUGGAGCCGUUCGUUGGUGGAACACUCUAGGGAAGACUUUAAGCCCUAAUGAGCCACUGCAAUUGACAUGGGCAGAAUUCUUGGUGCAGUUCAAGCGCAAGUUCUGCUCGGCUCAAAAUCUGUUGGAGUUGGAGAAUAAGUUUUUGACAUUGACGAAAGGUAGCAUGUCAGUUGAUGAGUACACCAAUAACUUCACCGAUAAGAUGGAGUUUGCCUUGCGUAUCGUUCCAGACGAGCUGACAAAGGUGGAUCGGUAUGCGAAGGGACUUCCAUGGGAGUACGAGGUGCCAGUACGUCAGGCACUUACUCUAGAGGCAGCUAUCUGGGCUGCCAAGUCUGUGGAGAACAUGAUCAAGGGGAGAACCACCGUCAAGGUUGAGGUUGGUGAGAAAAGGAAGUUUGAAGGAACAUCUGGUUCCAGUAAGAAGAGCAAAUUUUCGAAAUCUGAUUCGAAAAAGUUUGGAGGAAAAGGAGGCGAAGCAAAGUGGUGUGAUAAGUGUAAGAAAAAGCACUUUGGGAAAUGUAGCGAGGAUGUGACCUGCUACAAGUGUGGAAAGGUUGGACAUUUUGCCAAUGAAUGUCCGAACAACAAAAGGAUGUGUUUUGGGUGUAAUGAAGAGGGGCAUAUUUUGAAAGACUGUCCGAAGAAGAAGGAGGCAGCAAAGCCCAACAUUCCACCAAAGCCGAAGGCGAGAGCCUUCCAGAUGACACUUGAGGCUGCGAAAGAUGAAGCUGAUGUCGCUUCAGGUACCUUUCUCGUAAACGAAUUACCUGCUCAUAUAUUGUUUGAUUCUGGAGCCAACUACUCCUUUAUUUCGCAUGAGUUUGGUAGAAAGCUAGCUUUGCCUGUUGAUAGACUAAAUAAUGCUUUAUUAGUCGAAGUAGCUAGUGGCAAGUUUGUACCUGUUAGCCAUCGUAUGAAAAACGUCUUGAUCGACCUUAAUGGGAAUAAGUUUCUCGAGGAAUUAUUGCCUAUCGAACUAAAUGGUUUCGACAUCGUCUUGGGAAUGGAUUGGCUUAGCGCCAAUGAUGCCGAAAUUUUGUGCAAGAAGAAGAUAGUUAAAGUAAACCCGCCUGGGAAAGAUUCGUUUAUGGUGUAUGGGGACAAACGCAGAGUGAAUUCUGGAAUCAUUUCUCUAAUGAAAGCCAGAAAGUGUUUGACCAAGGGAUGUACAUCAUAUUUAGCAUUCGUGAUUGAUGCUAAGAAAGAAAAGAAGGUGAUGCAGAGUAUUCCAGUGGUGUGUGAUUAUCCGGAAGUAUUUCCCGAGGAUCUUCCUGGAUUACCACCUGAUAGACAAGUGGAGUUCAGAAUAGACUUGUUACCAGGAACCACGCCAAUAGCAAAAGCACCUUAUCGAUUAGCACCGACGGAGAUGAAGGAGCUGAUGAUGCAACUUCAGGAGUUAUUGGACAAAGGUUUCAUUAGACCUAGUUCAUCGCCCUGGGGAGCUCCGGUGUUAUUUGUAAAGAAGAAAGAUGGAAGUAUGAGAAUGUGCAUCGAUUACAGAGAGCUGAACAAGGCAACAAUAAAGAAUAGAUAUCCGUUGCCGAGGAUUGAUGACCUGUUUGAUCAAUUGCAAGGUUCGAGCUAUUUCUCGAAGAUCGAUCUUAGGUCAGGAUAUCAUCAGCUGAAAGUAAGAGAGCAAGAUAUCGAGAAGACUGCAUUCAGAACUAGAUAUGGACACUACGAGUUCUUGGUUAUGUCGUUUGGACUAACCAAUGCUCCAGCAGCGUUCAUGGAUUUGAUGAAUAGGGUUUGUAAUCCUUUCCUUGAUAAAUCCGUGAUAGUGUUCAUAGACGACAUUCUGAUCUACUCGAAAAGCCAGGAGGAGCAUGGCAGACACUUGCGAGAAGUGUUAGAAGUUUUGAAGAAGGAGAAGCUUUAUGCGAAGUUCUCCAAAUGUGAUUUUUGGAUUCGUGAGGUCCAAUUCUUGGGUCACGUGGUCAACCAAGAAGGGAUAAUGGUUGAUCCAGCGAAGAUCGAAGCUGUGACGAAGUGGGAACAACCGAAAAGUCCCACGGAGAUUCGAAGCUUUUUAGGAUUAGCCGGAUAUUACCGAAGGUUUAUCCAAGGCUUUUCUUCGAUUGCUACUCCAUUAACAGCUUUGACCCACAAAGGAGCUACUUAUGCUUGGAGUGAGAAGCAUAAAGAAGCAUUCGAGAAGUUAAAGAAGAAGCUAUGCGAGGCACCGAUACUUUCUCUACCCGAUGGAGUUGAAGACUUCGCUGUUUAUAGCGAUGCGUCUGGUGUUGGAUUGGGUUGUGUUUUGACCCAAAGAGAAAAGGUGAUAGCAUAUGCGUCUCGACAGCUGAAAGAGCAUGAAAAGAAUUACCCGACUCAUGAUUUGGAGUUGGCAGCGGUAGUUUUCGCUCUGAAAAUAUGGAGGCAUUACCUCUAUGGCACGAAGUGCAAACUUUUCACUGAUCAUAAGAGUCUCCAAUACCUCUUUAAUCAGAAAGAAUUGAAUAUGAGGCAACGACGCUGGCUAGAAUUACUUAAAGACUACGACUGCGAGAUACUUUACCACCCCGGUAAAGCUAAUGUUGUUGCUGAUGCUCUCAGUCGGAAAGUCAAUCUUGAAAGGAAGAGGCCAAGAGCGUUGAGAAUUGAAGUUGUCUCGACUAUUGUGGAAAGUAUAAAGAAAGCUCAAGAGGAAGCUUCUGAGAAAAAUGACCGAAAGGAGGAACGUUUGGGUAAAACGUUGGUGUUUGGUACUAACGGUCAUGGACUGAAGGUAUUCCAAGAUCGUAUUUGGGUACCUAAGUCAGGAGGAAUUAGGGAUCUUCUGAUGGAAGAAGCUCACAAAACCAUGUACUCAAUUCAUCCGGGUAGCACUAAAAUGUAUAGGGACCUGAAACCCUACUACUGGUGGCCGACGAUGAAGCUUGAUGUUGCAAAGUAUGUGGCCGAGUGUGUGACUUGUGCGAGAGUCAAGACACAACAUCAGAAACCUUACGGGAGUUUAGAACCAUUGCCUGUGCCUAUGGGUAAGUGGGAAGACAUUGCUAUGGAUUUUGUCACUAAACUGCCCAGAACAAAGAAUGGUCACGACAUGAUUUGGGUGGUCGUUGAUCGAUUCACUAAGAGUGCGCAUUUCAUAGCGGCCAGGGAGAAAUGGUCUAUGGAAAAGCUUGCGAAUUCUUACGUGAAGGAAAUUGUGAGGCUUCACGGUGUUCCGUUAACGAUUGUAUCGGAUCGUGAUAGCCGUUUCACCUCAAGGUUUUGGAAAAGUCUACAAGAGGAAAUGGGUACCAAGUUAUGUUUAAGCACAGCUUACCAUCCGCAGACUGAUGGUCAGAGUGAAAGAACAAUACAAACACUUGAAGAUAUGCUGAGAGCAUGUACCUUGGAAUUCCUAGGUAAUUGGGAUGAACAUUUACCGUUGGUAGAAUUUUCCUAUAAUAAUAGUUUUCACUCGAGCAUUAAGAUGGCACCUUAUCAAGCUUUGUAUGGACAGAAGUGUCGUACGCCGUCUUGUUGGCUUGAGGCUGGGGAAAAGCAGUUUAUGGGACCGGAGAUGGUUCAUCAAACUGCUGAAAAGUUGAAAAUAAUUAGGGAAAGAAUGUUAGCAGCUCAAGAUCGUCAAAAGAGCUAUGCUGACAAGAAGCGAAGACCGAUGACUUUUGAGGUUGGAGAUUCGGUUUUGCUUAAAGUCUCGCCGUGGAAGGGACUUAUAAGAUUUGGUAAAAGGGGAAAGUUGAGUCCAAGGUUUAUUGGACCGUUUAAAGUCCUUCAGAGGAUUGGGAAUCAAGCUUACAAGCUCGAAUUACCCGAAGAACUGAAUGGAAUUCACAACACCUUUCAUGUGUGUUAUUUGAGGAAGUUCACGGGAGAAGUUCCCGAUAUAAUUCCAAUUUCUGAAUUGAGAAUUGAUGAGAACAAAAGGUUGAUUGAAGAACCAGAGGCAAUUGUUGACCGAAAGACUAAGAAGUUGCGACGCAAAAUGGUUGGGUUAGUGCUUGUCCGAUGGAAACACACGAAUGGGCCGAAUCUCACCUGGGAGACGGAGAGUGACAUGUUGAGUCGCUAUCCGCAUUUGUUUGUUGAUGUGUGAUUCCGGGGACGGAAUCAUUCUAAGGUGGAGAGAAUUGUAACGCCUGUGUUUCCGGGCUUGCCAUUUUUAGCAAUGUAAUAGUCUAGGUUAACCUUUGUAACCCGUUUUGAAAUAAUAAGAUUGUAUUAUUUGAGUAUUAUGUGUUUUGUGCUUAAUUGCUUAAUUAUGUGGUUUGAUUAAUUAAGAAUAAAAAUAAGCGUCAAAAUUUAAGUGUAAAAUAAACUUAAUAUCUUUGGUUAAUGUUGUAGUAGUUGAAACGAGGUUUCCGAAUAUAUAUAGAACGCCCAAAUCUGACUUCGUAUGAGGAAGUUAUGAUUUAUCGAAGUUCCGGCUUAGCGAUAUACAGCCUGUUUUACUCGAUUUGAGAUCGAGCGGUUGUUAGCCGAAGCAAUCUAAAUGAGAAUCGAAGAUCUCAUUGUUGGUAUUGAAACGAUAAAAAGUUAGGCGAGAACGGACGUCAAACGAAGAAGUUAUGAAUUUAUAACGAAAGUUUCUGUCCCGGCCUAUUAAAAAUAAUUAAUAAAAAUAAAGUCAAAAUUAGCCGACGGAGUCUAAACGAAAGUCGUAGAGCGUGGUCUCACCUUCGCGUGGAUAUAAAGAACGUCGAAAACGGAGUUCGUAUGAAGAAGUUAUGAAUUUCCGAAGUUUAUUAAUCAUUUUGUAUUUAUUUUUAAUUCAAAAUUCGGAAGCAUUAUCCGAAGGAGUCACCGAUCUGAUCCGAGGUACGCCCCGCGUACUCGAGUACGCCCCGCGUACUCCGAGGGAUGUCGACACUCGCACUCGAGCACUUCGGAUACGUAAGCAAUGACGUUUUGGGCAGUACGCCCCGCGUAACGCAGUACGCCCCGCGUACUCCGAGGCUCCAGCCUCCUAUAAAUAGGAUGCGAGGGUUCCGGGUAUUUUUGCCAAUUCCCUCUCGUUUUCGUGUCGAAGCUCUGUGCAAAAACCCCCGAAGCUACCCCGAAGUCCCGGUAUCAUACUCUAGCCCCGAGGCAAGUCCCGAGAUCCUGAAGAUCCCGAAAAGUGCGGUUCCCGAGUCGAAGCUCUGCCCGCGAGAAGUUCGAUUUUCGAGAAGAUCUUCCAGAUCUGCUGUGGAUUACUACUUCUAUAAGCCGUAGUGCUGUCCGAUCAUCUUCUGAUCAAGUGAGUGUAUACUACCUUUCAUAAACACGAUAAUAAUACAAGUAUGGUUUGAGUGUAUUAAGUAUAUUGUUGUUUAUAUGUGUGAGUGUGUAGUUACUUUCUUCUAACGCAUAAUUAUGAAGUAUUUUAUACGGAAUAUGUAUUAUGUGUAUAAUUUUGUGGUUAUGUGUGUGAAUGUGUAUUCACUUUCUUCUAUCUUAUAGAUAUGAUUUAUUCUCUAUGAAAUACGUGUUAUGUGUGUGUGUGCCUCAUCUGUUAUGUGGAAUAUGUAUUGAUUAAAGCAUGCUAUACAGGUUUUUUAAACUAUGUAUAAAAAUGUAUAUUUUUAUCUACUAAUAUGUUGGGUAGAACAUGGGUAGAUAGUUGGUGUGUAAUAAACAGAUAAGAGGCCUCGUUGUUGUUUGAUUUAGUCAUCUAGCGGAGUUUAGAUGACGACCACAGACUUUUCUAGACAGUCUUGUGGAACAUUAGCAGGCUCGCCACCUGUAGGUGUUAAUGAACUUGGGUGUUCAUUCGCUGUACUCCAUCCCCCUCAUGGUUGCCUUAUUUGACUUAUAUUGCUGAGGAACCCCCGAAGCAUGUGUUGUCGCCCCGAUGAAAUAUUCUUAGACUAGGUCCCUUGUGUUAGUUAUUUUAGGGACAUAAAGUGAGAAUAACGGGAAUGGGUAAUUGGGUUAUUGUUGGUUGGUGGAAUUAAAUAUAAUUAUUU
rnacentral:lncRNA from 1 species